AAUCCGUAAACAUUUUGAGAUUGUUGAACUUGAAGGUAAGUUUUUUAGUUUUUGAAUGCUUUUUUAGUACGUGAUUUUAAUAUGAUUUGCCCCCGGACGUUUUUCAGUUCCUUUUUUAAACAUGUUAUAAAUAAUGGUAGACGGCCAUUAAAAAAUCUUCAAAUUUGAUAAAAAUGUAGAAGCGUUAGAAAUCCAAGGGAAGGUGACAGUGCUGACGCUAGUGCCAUUUAUACUGCUGUCAAUACCAAGCGUCAGAGAAGUGCUGUUCGGGAUUAUUUCCAAAAGUUUGCAGACUCUGCAAAAACAACGGGAACAUCGAAGUGCAGUAUCUGUAAUGAGAACAUGGCAGCAACAGUUCAAUUUAUUCAAGCAUUUGAAGAUGAAACAUCAAGAGCAAUACAAAGAAGCUGAAAGGAAAAGAAAAUUAUUUGAAGAAAA